rnacentral:lncRNA from 1 species
CAGCAGCCAGCCAUCACUAACAGAAGUAAGGGGAGAAGUCUUAGCAACUUCAUUAGACAUUGUGAGCAAUCAGAAAAUAGACUAAUACAGGGACAGGUGCCUGACAUGGAAGGAACAUCCAUCUUGGACUACAUGGAGUGAAAAGCAAGGGCUGAAUACGAUGGAACAAGAAGACGGAAGACGCCUGUCUUCUCAGGAUGGUGGUGCCAUUAUGCCAGCUGAAUCUAUGUGCAACAAAAAGAAACCAAGACAAGUAUCCACAAAAGGAGAAACAUGGGCCGGGCGCGGUGGCUCACGCCUAUAAUCCCAGCACUUUGGGAGGCCGAGGUGGACGGAUCACAGGGUCAGGAGAUUGAGACCAUCCUGGCUAACAUGGUGAAACCCCGUCUCUACUAAAAUACAAAAAAAAAAUUAGCUGGGCGUGGUUGCGGGCGCCUGUGGUCCCAGCUAUUCGGGAGGCUGAGGCAGGAGAAUAGCACCAACCCGGGAGGCGGAGCUUGCAGUGAGCAGAGAUUGCGCCACUGCACUCCAGCCUGGGCAACACAGACUCCGCCUCAAAAAAAAAACAAAAAACAAAAGGAGAAAUACAGGAUGUUUUACAGUGCUUGUGGUGCUUGAUUUUUAUAUCUUGUCAUUAAGCUAUGCCUUUAUUUCCUUUGUGUUAAACCUCUAUUCUUGUUUACACCUGUUUUCUAUCUGUAGUUCAAAAACAUAAUGAAUAUUUCAUCUAUGUAGUUUCUUUGUAAAGUCUUUUGAGCUCUAACCUCUCAAAGGACAGCCACUCAAUAUGGUCUGUUUAUUUAUCUAUCUAUUUAUUUAUUUAUUUAUUUAUUUAUGUAUAGACAGAGUCUGGCUCUGUUGCCCAGGAUGGAGUGCAGUGGUGUGAUCUCGGUUCACUGCAAGCUCCGACUCCCAGGUUCACACCAUUCGCCCGCCUCAGCCUCCCGAGUAGCUGGGACUACAGGCGCCCGCCACCACGCCCAGCUAAUUUUUUUGUAUUUUUAGUAGAGACGGGGUUUCACCAUGUUAGCCAGGAUGGUCUCGAUCUCCUGACCUCGUGAUCUGCCCGUCUCAGCCUCCCAAAGUGCUGGGAUUACAGGCGUGAGCCACCACACCAGGCCCAUCAAUAUGGUUUGAACAUGCAUCACACAUGCUGAGGCCGGGCACGGUAGCUCACGCCUGUAAUUCCAGCAUGUUGGGAGGCUGAGGUGGGCAGAUCACUUGAGGUCGGGAGUUCGAGACCAGCCUGGCCAACAUAGUGAAACCCCGUCUCUAAUAAACAUAUAAAAAUUAGCCAGGGGUGGUGGCACACACAUGUAGUUUCAGCUACUCAGGAAGCUGAGGCAGGAGAAUCGCUUGAACCUGGGAGGAGGAGGUUGCAGUGAGCAGAGAUCAUGCCGCUGCACUCCAGCCUGGGCAACAGAGCAAGACUUUUUAAAAAAUUUAAAAAUAAUAGUAAAUAGAUAAAUACCCAUCACGUAUGCUGAAUAUGUAGAAAUUGGAUGGCUACUAAAAAUCAUAUGCACAUGGACUCAGCUAUUCGUACACCAAAGUUUAUAGCAGCAUUAUGCAUGAUAGCCAAAAGAUGGAAACAACCUAGCUGUUCAUGGAUAGGAAAACGUGACGUAUGCACACUAUGGAAUAUUAUUCAGCCCUUAAAAGAAAUAAAAAUUUUUACACAUUCUACAACAUAGAUGAACCUGGAAGACGUUAUGCUAAGUUAAAUAAGCCAGACACGAAAGAACAAAUACUGUAUACUUCCACUUACAUGAGAUAACCAGGGGAGUCAAAUUCAUAGAGACAGAAAGUAGCAUGUUGCAAUGGGGAGCAAUUGUUUAAUGGGUACAGAUUUUCAGUCUGGGAAAAUUCAUUUAGCUCCCACUUAUAAGUGAGAAUAUGUGGUAUUUGGUUUUCUGUUCCUGCAAAAUUUUGGACAUGGCUGGUGGUGAUGGUUGCAAAACGAUAUUAAUGUACUUAAUGCCAGUCAACUAUACACCUAGAAACGGUUAAAACAGACAAUUUUAUGGUAUGUAUGUUUUACAUAGCUUAAAAAAAAUCAAAUGUGCUUAUUUGGUCCAGACAAAUGUUAGCAAUGCUCUGAUUUUCCCUCGUGUUCCAGUAUUUUGCCACAUACCUAGUGGGAGAUCAUUACAUUACUAAAAGAGAAAAAUCUGCUAUGGAGAUUGUGUAACGUGCACCCAUGUAUAGAAAAAUGAACCACAAUGUCUAGAAAGCAAAAUCCUGGCCAGACACAGUGGCUCACACCUGUAAUCCCAGUGCUUUGGGAGGCCGAGGUGAGCGGAUCACCUGAGUUCAGGAGUUCAAGACAAGCCUGGGCAACAUCGUGAAACCCUAUCUCUACUAAAAAUACAAAAAUUAGCUGGGCAUGGUGGCGGGCGCCUGUAAUCCCAGCUACUCAGGAGACUGAGGCAGGAGAGUUGCGUGAACCCAGGAGACAGAGUUUGCAGUGAGCCAGGAUCACGCCUGUGCACUCUAGCCUGGGCAAUAAGAGGGAAACUUGGUCUCAAAAAAAAAAAAAAAAGAAGAAGAAGAAGACUGACUUCAUUUAAAAGUAUGAUUUUUAUCUUUAUAUAUAUUUCUUCUUUCGUUUUUUUCUUUCUGUUUUUUCUUUUCUUUUUUACUUAUUUUUUUGGGGAGGACAGGGUAUUGCUCUGUCACCCAUGCUGGAGUACAGUGGUGAGAUUAUGGCUCACUCCAGCCUUGAGCCCUUGGGCUCAAGCAAUUCUCCUGCCUCAGCCUCCCGAGUAGCUGGGCCUACAGGCACACACCACCAUGCUUGGCUAAUUUUUUUAUUUCUUUGUAGAGAUGGGAGUCUAUGUUGCCCAGGCUGGUCUUGAACUCCUAGACUCAAGUGAUCCACCUCGGCCUCCCAAAGUGCUGGGAUCACAGAUGUGAGCCACUGUGACUGGCUAUAAUGUUAUUUACUAUUGCAAAAGCAAAAUGUAGCUAUUAUAGAAAAAUCAGAAAAUGCAUGCAGAGCGAAUAAAUCCUAGGGGCACACGCAGACCAAUGGCCACACAUAAUUCUACCAAAGAAGUAGCAUGUCUGCCUCUAGAGACACUGGCCCAAUAUGUCCAUCAUCUACAGCCCAUUUCCCUCAGAUCCAUCCUUCCAACCUUCUCUGUGAUGCUCUGUCCCCUUAGAGUUGGCCCUCACAUGCUGUAUCACCCAGGUCCUUCUGGUUGGGCAUACCAAGGGAGUAGCGAAUUAUCGGAAAAAAAUUCAGAAGAAAGAAUUCCCAGAAAGAAUUUAACACUUCCCCCAAUAGCAGAUCUUGAAAGAAUAAUUUGAAUGUAAGCAGUUUAUUUGGGAAAUGAUCCCAAGAGAGUGUAGUGGGGAAAUGAGGACGUCAGAUAGAAAAGAGAAGAAACCAAACAAAUGGUUGUUACCAAGUUACCCCUGUAGGCAAUUGGAGUUUAAUUUCUGGGGAAAUCUUGGAAAUAGUGAGGAACAUGGACCUGUGAGCUGUCCCACUUGAGGGUGGGGAAGUUCCAGUAUGUAUCGCUACUUCCCAUCUGUCAUCAGCUGAGGACUUACUCCGGGAUGGUGUACAUGAAAUGUGAGGUCUGAGGAGCUAUGGGGCAGAUGGUCGAGGGGACCACCUAGUGGGACGUGAAGACAAGAGAAAAAUAGAGAAAGGCCAAAGGGUCAAAAAGCUACACAAUAAUGCUGUAAACAAGUACUGAACUGUGCCCAUCAAUUUCUCAAAAGGAGUAGCUGGAUGGACCAUUUCAGUGGAACAGCAGGAGCUAAAGCCAGAAUGCUUCAGAGUAAGAAGUAGAGAUCAUGUGUGGGGACAAUUCUUUUUUUUUUUUUUUUAAACGGAGUCUCACUCUGUCACCCAAGCUGUAGUGUUGUGGUGUGACCUCGGCUCACUGCAACCUCCGCCUCCCAGGUUCAAGCUAUUCUCCUGUCUCAGCCUCCUGAGUAGGUGGCAUGUGCCACCAAGCCUGGCUAAUUUUUGUGUUACACGGGAUUUCACCACGUUGGCUAGGCUGGUCUCAGUCUCCGAAAGUGCUGGGAUUGCAGGCGUGAGCCACCAUGCCCAGCCAGUUCUUUACAACGCUUGAUUCUGAAAGGAAAGAAAGAAAGAGGGCUGUAGCCAAAAGGCUGUGAGGUUAGAGCAAUGUUUUUCAAACUGGGGUCCUUGACAGAUUCUCAGUCUGUAAGACCUGAGAAUUUUAAAAGACACACACAGACACACACACACACAUACACACACACAGUGUCCCCUGGAUGCCAAUUUCUAAGUGAAUAUUGCUUCCAAGUUUCAGUUCCUCUGUUUAUAUUUGUGUUUACAAUCAAGUUGUAGCCAGGCAGUAAUACUUUAAAGAUCAUUUUCUUUCUUUUUUUUUUUUUUUUUAACUGAGUUUCGUUCUUAUUGCCCAGGCUGGAGUGCAAUGGUGUGAUCUCCGCUCACAGCAACCUCCGCCUCCCGGAUUCAAGUGAUUCUCCUACCUCAGCCUCCUGAGUAGCUGGGAUUAAAAGCACGCACCACCAUGCCUGGCUAACUUUUGUAU